rnacentral:rRNA from 1 species
CCUACGGGUGGCAGCAGUGAGGAAUAUUGGUCAAUGGACGAGAGUCUGAACCAGCCAAGUAGCGUGAAGGAUGACUGCCCUAUGGGUUGUAAACUUCUUUUAUAUGGGAAUAAAACGUUCCACGUGUGGGAUUUUGUAGGUACCAUAUGAAUAAGGAUCGGCUAACUCCGUGCCAGCAGCCGCGGUAAUACGGAGGAUCCGAGCGUUAUCCGGAUUUAUUGGGUUUAAAGGGAGCGUAGGUGGAUUGUUAAGUCAGUUGUGAAAGUUUGCGGCUCAACCGUAAAAUUGCAGUUGAAACUGGCAGUCUUGAGUACAGUAGAGGUGGGCGGAAUUCGUGGUGUAGCGGUGAAAUGCUUAGAUAUCACGAAGAACUCCGAUUGCGAAGGCAGUUCACUGGACUGCAACUGACACUGAGGCUCGAAAGUGUGGGUAUCAAACAGGAUUAGAUACCCUAGUAGUC